rfam:Elusimicrobia bacterium GWD2_63_28 gwd2_scaffold_3568, whole genome shotgun sequence.
GCUGGGGUAGCUCAGCUGGUAGAGCACUUCAUUGGUAAUGAAGAGGUCGUGGGUUCAAUCCCCAUCCCCAGCU